UGGGGAAUAUUUCACAAUGGGCGCAAGCCUGAUGCAGCCAUGCCGCGUGUAUGAAGAAGGCCUUCGGGUUGUAAAGUACUUUCAGUCGGGAGGAAGGUGGUAAGGUUAAUAACCUUAUCAAUUGACGUUACCGACAGAAGAAGCACCGGCUAACUCCGUGCCAGCAGCCGCGGUAAUACGGAGGGUGCAAGCGUUAAUCGGAAUUACUGGGCGUAAAGCGCACGCAGGCGGUUUGUUAAGUCAGAUGUGAAAUCCCCGGGCUCAACCUGGGAACGGGAUCUGAUACUGGCAAGCUUGGGUCUCGUAGAGGGGGGUAGAAUUCCAGGUGUAGCGGUGAAAUGCGUAGAGAUCUGGAGGAAUACCGGUGGCGAAGGCGGCCACCUGGACGAAGACUGACGCUCAGGUGCGAAAGCGUGGGGAGCAAACAGG
rnacentral:rRNA from 1 species